rnacentral:lncRNA from 1 species
AUAAACCUGACAAAACUUGGCGCGUAAGUUUCUUUAGCCUUCCACUGAUCCAAUUAUUGUGAAUAAUGUAGCAUCCUUUUUUUAAACAUGUUGCUUUGACGGUUUUAUCUUGCCACAGGUUUUGGUAUGCGCCAUUUGGAAAAAGGUUUCUGUCUAAGAAAUGUACUGUCACAUUUGUUUCAGGUUCUACACAUUUGUUAUCACUGACACGGUUGGAUCCUCCUUUUCCACAUAAUAUGUCAUAGAAGCUUGGUUGUUCAGAUAAGCCUGAAGUUUCUGCAUGUUUCACCACUUUAUCUAUGGCUGCAAUUGUUUGAUUAUCAGAAUGAGCAUAAUAGAAGCCAGAGUUCAAACGUCUAGGUAGGUUUAUUGGUCCUGCAUAAAUGAAACAAUUGCAAAACAAUCAUUGUAGAAAGGAACCAAAAGAGAAGAAAAUUUCCUUACAGAUUAUUUGAAUUUGUUCUAUGACAUAGCACUUAUUUUUAGUGGUGAGACAUAAAUACUUGCAUAGUGUUUGAGAUAGUUCAUGACAUGUUCAUAUGUUGUUUUCAGAUUAUGUUAAUGAGUAUUUCAAGAUAGCUUAUGAAAACACUUAAUAUAUAUAGUUAACUUAUGCUCUUAAUUGGGCGAGAAUAUGAUUUUCAAUUGUGAGAUGCAGGAAUAAUUACCUUGUUCUUGGUAUUCAUCAGACUGUGCAACAAGAACUGCAUGACCAAAGGAGUUUAGGAAGGGAAUAGGGUUUCUGAAC